AGCAGCCGCGGUAAUUCCAGCUCCAAUAGCGUAUAUUAAAGUUGUUGCAGUUAAGAAGCUUGUAGUUGAAUUUCGGGAUCAAUUAAUCGGUCGUACCUAUGGUACGUACUGAUUUUAUUGGUUUCUCCCUUCUGACGAACCAUGAUGUCAUUAAUUUGGUGUCGUGGAGAAUCAGGACUGUUACUUUGAAAAAUUGAGUGUUUAAAGCUGAAUACAUUAGCAUGGAAUAAUGAAAUAGGGCGUUUGAUCCUAUUUUGUUGGUUUCUAAGAUCGACGUAAUGAUUAAUAGGGAUAGUUGGGGGCAUUAGUAUUCAAUUGUCAGAGGUGAAAUUCUUGGAUUUAUUGAAGACUAACUACAGCGAAAGCAUUUGCCAAGGAUGUUUUCA
rnacentral:rRNA from 1 species